UGGGGAAUAUUGCACAAUGGGCGCAAGCCUGAUGCAGCCAUGCCGCGUGUGUGAAGAAGGCCUUCGGGUUGUAAAGCACUUUCAGCGAGGAGGAAGGGUAGUGUGUUAAUAGCACAUUGCAUUGACGUUACUCGCAGAAGAAGCACCGGCUAACUCCGUGCCAGCAGCCGCGGUAAUACGGAGGGUGCAAGCGUUAAUCGGAAUUACUGGGUGUAAAGCGCACGCAGGCGGUUUGUUAAGUCAGAUGUGAAAUCCCCGCGCUUAACGUGGGAACU
rnacentral:rRNA from 1 species